rnacentral:rRNA from 1 species
AUUGAACGCUGGCGGAAUGCUUUACACAUGCAAGUCGAACGGUAGAGGGGGCAACCCCUCGAGAGUGGCGAACGGGUGAGUAAUAUAUCGGAACGUGCCCAGUCGUGGGGGAUAACGUAGCGAAAGUUACGCUAAUACCGCAUACGAUCUAAGGAUGAAAGUGGGGGAUCGCAAGACCUCGCGCGAUUGGAGCCGCCGAUAUCAGAUUAGGUAGUUGGUGGGGUAAAGGCUCACCAAGCCAACGACCUGUAGCUGGUCUGAGAGGACGACCAGCCACACUGGAACUGAGCCACGGGCCAGACUCCUACGGGAGGCAGCAGUGGGGAAUUUUGGACAAGGGACGCAAGUCUGAUCCAGCCAUUCCGCGUGCAGGAUGAAGGCCCUCGGGUUGUAAACGGCUUUUGUACGGAACGAAAAGGGCUCUCUUAAUACGGGGGACUCAUGACGGUACCGUAAGAAUAAGCACCGGCUAACGACGUGCCAGCCGCCGCGGUAA